CAGAACAGAGGGGUAGAGCACUCUUCUCUCUUAAACCCGGGACAGACGAUCCAGCCUCUGUUCCGGAUCCUGUCGUGAGAGACAGUC
ensembl:snoRNA